GACGCACCGUGCAAACGUUGUUCGGAAUCACUGGGCUUAAAGGGCGCGUAGGCGGGCGUUCAAGUCAGGGGUGAAAUCCCCCAGCUCAACUGGGGAACUGCCUCUGAUACUGGGUGCCUCGAGUGAGGUAGGGGCGUGCGGAACUGAUGGUGGAGCGGUGAAAUGUGUUGAUAUCAUCAGGAACGCCGGUGGCGAAAGCGGCGCGCUGGACCUGAACUGACGCUGAUGCGCGAAAGCCAGGGGAGCAAACGGG
rnacentral:rRNA from 1 species